AUUGAACGCUGGCGGCAGGCUUAACACAUGCAAGUCGAGCGGAGUGAUGGUGCUUGCACUAUCACUUAGCGGCGGACGGGUGAGUAAUGCUUAGGAAUCUGCCUAUUAGUGGGGGACAACAUCUCGAAAGGGAUGCUAAUACCGCAUACGUCCUACGGGAGAAAGCAGGGGAUCACUUGUGACCUUGCGCUAAUAGGUGAGCCUAAGUCGGAUUAGCUAGUUGGUGGGGUAAAGGCCUACCAAGGCGACGAUCUGUAGCGGGUCUGAGAGGAUGGUCCGCCACACUGGGACUGAGACACGGCCCAGACUCCUACGGGAGGCAGCAGUGGGGAAUAUUGGACAAUGGGGGGAACCCUGAUCCAGCCAUGCCGCGUGUGUGAAGAAGGCCUUAUGGUUGUAAAGCACUUUAAGCGAGGAGGAGGCUCUUUUGGUUAAUACCCAAGAUGAGUGGACGUUACUCGCAGAAUAAGCACCGGCUAACUCUGUGCCAGCCGCCGCAGUAACAC
rnacentral:rRNA from 1 species